AUACCGUGAUGAGGACAGUGUCUCUGCAAUCGCUUGAAUCUCCUCCAUGAAUGAUAUAAGGACUCAUCCUCUGAUUGCUUGAAAGUGGAUAUGGCAUUCCUCAACUCU
rfam:Beta vulgaris subsp. vulgaris Bvchr1.sca001.con0092.1, whole genome shotgun sequence.